CUAACCUCGAAUCAAGCAUGAAUACCCGCUGAACUUAAGCAUAUCACUAAGCGGAGGA
rnacentral:rRNA from 1 species